rnacentral:rRNA from 1 species
GACGAACGCUGGCGGCGUGCUUAACACAUGCAAGUCGAACGGAAAGGCCCCUUUGGGGGUACUCGAGUGGCGAACGGGUGAGUAACACGUGAGUAACCUGCCCUUGACUUCGGGAUAACUUCAGGAAACUGGGGCUAAUACCGGAUAGGAAUCCUUGCUGCAUGGUGGGGGUUGGAAAGCUUCGGCGGUUUUGGAUGGACUCGCGGCUUAUCAGCUUGUUGGUGGGGUAGUGGCUUGCCAAGGCUUUGACGGGUAGCCGGCCUGAGAGGGCGACCGGCCACAUUGGGACUGAGAUACGGCCCAGACUCCUACGGGAGGCAGCAGUGGGGAAUAUUGCACAAUGGGCGGAAGCCUGAUGCAGCAACGCCGCGUGCGGGAUGACGGCCUUCGGGUUGUAAACCGCUUUCAGCAGGGGCGAAGCUUGUGGUGACGGUACCUGCAGAAGAAGCACCGGCUAACUACGUG